rnacentral:lncRNA from 1 species
GCUGGGAGGGCGGCCACGGCCGCAGCAGGGCCGUGUGGUUGGAGGCGCAAUGGCCUGGGGGCGGCUGGCCGAGCGGGGCAGAGCCUGCGUGCCCAGGCCGAUGUCUCCCCUUUCCGCAGAGGGGACCCGGAGCGGUGCGCGGUGUGGCUCCCGCCAGCGCUGGCCACUCGCUGCUUUUCUCCUGGCCACCUCUGCGCUCCAGAAGGCCUCGGGAGGGGGGGUCGCGCUCUUUUAAACGCCCCGUGCUGCACUAAACAUGUCUCCCAGGUCACUCUUGGCUCCGGUCGGCUUUCGGUGGUUGCACAGAGGACCCGGCCGUGUCCCUGCUGGCCAGGCGGUGCUCUGCACCCCGGGCUCCUGCUCCACCGCCAUGCGCCCACCCGACGCUCACAUGAGGCAGCCGCAUCCCGCGGGGGUGGUGGAGCCCCCGGCACCGGCCCAACGCCUCGGCUGAGCCUCCCGAGCCGCUCCGCGCAGAGGCAUCAGGCCUGGCAGCCACCCAGGGGAGGAGCAGACGCUUCGCCGGCUCGACCAGGGCCUGGCGUCGAAUGGCCCCGGCAGGCCUGCGACAGCGCCGGCGCGGUGGGCAGCACCCGGGCACCCGGGGUGGCCCCGGAGCAGCCCCCGGAGCCGCGGGGAAGUUUCCUGUUUGCUGGCCCGGCAGAGACGUCGGGUCCUCAACCGCUGCCAGGCCGCCGCUUCCGGCAGAGGCUCCAGCCCGGAGCCCCCCUGCACUAUCAGCUCGCCAGAUGCCUUUUUCAGGAUACUGUGGUAAAACUGUGCAGGGCAGGCGCUGUCAUUUGGGGUUUUCGCUGGUGUCAGCCUCGAAGACAAAUUGGACGAGUUGAGAGAGAGAGAGAGAAGAAUAAAAAAACAGGCUGCCCGCUGCCGGCCUUCGGCGGGGCCGGCCUGCGCGACGGCGCGGCAAUGGGUCCCCCAAGCGGCAGCGGCAGCAGCGGGCCAGGACGGUGGCUACGGCAGGCCAGGCGGCCGCCAUGGCGCCAUGGCGGCCGAGGGCCGGUGUCGGCCCCUAGUGGCGGCGGGAGCAGCGCGGCGGGGAGGCCGUGGGCCGCACGCGGGCCUGCUCGCCCCAGCCCGACGGAGGAGGCCAACGCGGCGGUGCGGUGA